UACGUAGGGCGCAAGCGUUAUCCGGAAUUAUUGGGCGUAAAGAGCUCGUAGGCGGUUUGUCGCGUCUGCUGUGAAAGACCGGGGCUCAACUCCGGUUCUGCAGUGGGUACGGGCAGACUAGAGUGCAGUAGGGGAGACUGGAAUUCCUGGUGUAGCGGUGAAAUGCGCAGAUAUCAGGAGGAACACCGAUGGCGAAGGCAGGUCUCUGGGCUGUAACUGACGCUGGAGGAGCGAAAAGCAUGGGGAGCGAACAGG
rnacentral:rRNA from 1 species